rnacentral:ncRNA from 1 species
CGACCCCAUCUUAGGUGAGAACACCCACUGAGUUUAAGCAUAUAAUUAAGUGAGGAAAAGAAACUUACAAGGAUUCCCCUAGUAACAGUGAGCAAACCAGGAAGAGCCCAGCAUUAAAAUCAGGUGGUAGCAUCACCUAAAUUGUAGUCUGUAGAAGCGUCCUUAGUGGUGGACUGGGCCCAAGUCCCCUGGAAGGGGGCGCCUGAGAGGGUGAAAACCCUAUUGGGUCGGUACCCUGCCGCACCACGAGGCAUUGUCGGUGAGUUAGGUUGUUUGGGAAUGCAGCCCUAAUCGGGUGGUAAAUUCUGUCCAAGGCUAAAUAUAGGUGAGAGACCGAUAGCGAACAAGUACCGUGAGGGAAACAUGAAAAGGACUUUGAAACAAGAGUUAAAGAGUGUUUGAAAUUGCUGGGAGGGAAGCAGAUGGAGCCUGGCGAUGCAUCUCGGUCAGAUGCAGAAUGGCUCAAGCUGGUCCACUGCUCGACUCGAGGUGCAAACCAGCACAUGCCAUUGCAUCGACACAAGCGUGGGUGGAGUACUGCCUAUUGGUUUGUCAUUGUGGCGGUUGAGGAACAAAGUGUGCACCCUUGGGGCAGGCCACUGUGCACCUGCAUGCUCGUGGUGUUGGUUGGCGGGAUUUCCAUUUGACCCGUCUUGAAACACGGACCAAGGAGUCUAACAUGUGUGUGAGCCGGUGGGUUUGUAAACCUGUGAGGCAUAAGGAAGUUGACGGGAAAGAACCCCUCUCCAUGGGGUGCAUUGUCGACCAACCUUGAGCUUGUGUGAAGGGUUCGAGUGCGAGAACACCUGUUGGGACCUAAAAUAUGGUGAACUAUGCCUGAGCAGGGUGAAGCCAGAGGAAACUCUGGUGGAGGCCCAUAGCAAUACUAACAUGAAAAUCAUUCGUCUAACUUGGGUAUAGGGGUGAAAGACUAAUCGAGCCAUCUAGUAGCUGGUGUCCUCCAAAGUUUCCCUCAGGAUAGCUAGAGCUCACGUGCGAGUUUUAUCGGGUAAAGCAAAUGAUUAGAGGCAUUGGGGGAAUAAUGCCCUUGACCUAUUCUCAAACUUUAAGUAGGUAAGACGAUGCGACUUCUCCAUUGAUCCGUGCCACAUAAUCGAGAGCUCCAAGUGGGCCAUUUUUGGUAAGAAGAAAUGGCAAUGCGGGAUGAACCGAAAGUCGAGUUACGGUGCCAAACUGUGCACUAGCUCAGAUCCCACAAAGGGUUUUGGUUGAUUAAGACAGUAGGACGGUGGUCAUGGAAGUUGAAAUCCACUAAGGAGUGUGUAACAACUCACCUGCUGAAUCAACUAGCCCCAAAAAUGGAUGGCACUGAAGCACGCGACCUAUACUCCAUCGUCAGAGAAAUUGCCAAGAUUCAAUGAGUAGGAGGACGCGAUGGUCAUCUAGAAACCUUGGGCAUG